GACGAACGCUGGCGGCGUGCUUAACACAUGCAAGUCGAACGGAAAGGCCCUGCUUUUGUGGGGUGCUCGAGUGGCGAACGGGUGAGUAACACGUGAGUAUCCUGCCCUUGACUUUGGGAUAACUUCAGGAAACUGGGGCUAAUACCGGAUAGGAGCUCUUGCUGCAUGGUGGGGGUUGGAAAGUUUCGGCGGUUGGGGAUGGACUCGCGGCUUAUCAGCUUGUUGGUGGGGUAGUGGCUUACCAAGGCUUUGACGGGUAGCCGGCCUGAGAGGGUGACCGGCCACAUUGGGACUGAGAGACGGCGCAGACGCCUACGGGAGGCAGCAGUGGGGAAUAUUGCACAAUGGGCGGAAGCCUGAGGCAGCAACGCCGCGUGCGGGAUGCCGGCCUUCGGGUGGUAAACCGCUUUCGCCUGUGACGAAGCGUGAGUGACGGUAAUGGGUAAAGAAGCACCGGCUAACUACGUG
rnacentral:rRNA from 1 species